CGCUUCAAGCUACAUGUGAAGUUACUGUGGAGCCUGCCAUCCCCCGAAGCUUGUAUAAGGAAUGCAGCUGAGUAUGAAGUCCAUGGCAUUCUGGCUGAAGCUCAGAACAAAAGUCAAGAAAGUCCAUCAUCAUCCGUGGAGUUUCCGUUGCUCUGUUUAAUUGAAGACAGAGAGGAAGCAGGAGGAGAGGAAUUAAAAUGUCUUGUUCAAAGUAUCGCUUCUUUGCACUGGAGGAAGGCAGCUGUCUUAAACUGUGAAAUUCUGCUAAUUUCAAUGAAUUGUGGAUAAACUGAGGAUCUGGCUGCGCACAUGUUUUUGUUGCUCAUUAUCACUGCUUUCCUCUUGGUCUCGGGUGAGGAUCUUGACCUUUGUGGUGCAGGCUGCCUAGGUAUAAAAUGCAUGCAGCAUCUCCGUGUGCAAAUUCAUUAUUAUCUUUACAUGGCUUUGAACGAUUCUGUAGAAGUGUGAAGGAGCAUGGUGAAACUGCUAAACUUUCAAAGGU